ACUCAAAUGAAUUGACGGGGGCUCACACAAGCGGUGGAGGAUGUGGUUUAAUUCGAAGCAACGCGAAGAACCUUACCAGGUCUUGACAUACCGGGAUUAAUUUCGUGAAAGCGAGAGGAUUGCCCGCAAGGGUGUAACCGGAACAGGUGCUGCAUGGCUGUCGUCAGCUCGUGCCGUGAGGUGUCAGGUUAAGUCCUUUAACGAGCGAAACCCCUACGAUGAGUUGCUACCAGGUAAAGCUGGGCACUUUCAUCGGACUGCCGCGCAAGCUGGAGGAAGGUGGGGACGACGUCAAGUCAUCAUGGCCUUUAUGACCUGGGCUACACACGUCCUACAAUGGUCGGUACAACGGGCAGCAGAGCCGCAAGGUGAAGCCAAUCCCUGAAAGCCGUCCUCAGUUCGGAUUGUGGGCUGCAAUUCGCCCACAUGAAGCUGGAAUCGCUAGUAAUCGCGGAUCAGCCACGCCGCGGUGAAUAUGUUCCUGAGCCUUGUACACACCGCCCGU
rnacentral:rRNA from 1 species